AGGUAAAUCUUCUAGGAUGGCCUUCAGAGUGUGGCACAGUAAACACCAGAAAGGAAUGUCCCGGGGACCAUUAAGUAAGGUGUCCAGUUUGAAGAAAUUGCCGGGAGCGGCAAAAUUGUUGAAGAAAAGUGGCUCCAAGUGGGCUCAGAAACCAGUGUACACUCUCCAAGAAACAAGGACCCCUGGACAGCACUCCAGACAAAAAGUCGAACUCAGAAAAAAGGAGACUGGAGUGAAGAGGUACAGUUUACGGGAAAGAAAGGACCAUGUGUACCAAGAGGUCAGCGAGCCUGAGGA